rnacentral:tRNA from 1 species
UCCCAGAUGACUCAGUGGUAAAGAAUCUGCCUGCCAAGCAGGACACCCAGGUUCGAUCCCUGGGUUGGAAA